GGUCGACUGCAAGCCUCAUUGAUCCUUUGAGCAUGUCAAUUUUUUCAUUAAGCAGGAUCACGAUUAACCCUCUUUCAUCAAGUCCACUGAACAUAAGACGUCUUAUCAAUGUACAACCAAAGAUGAGAAACACAAUUUUGCGCAACUAUUAGAGGUCAAAAUUAUUCUUGCCUAUGAAAUGAGCAGCAGUUGUAAGCACAAUUUCAAGCCAGAAAAAUCUUACCCUUUUUUUUAAAAAAAAACAACUUAAUAUAUUAAAUUGUCUCUUAAGAACUAUAAAGAAAUAGAAAUUUGAAGUUAGCUAUCUGAAAAUUGUAAACGGUAAUCUUCUCAUUUCGCUAAACUCACUGUCAGCCUUCUAAUUAUAUUUUUAACACGAAUUCAUUACAAAAUCUUUGCCAUAUCAUCCACAUUUACCUCAUACUUAUAGUCGUUAUUCAACAUAUCAAAAGUUGUAAAUAAAAUGAACAAAUGAGGAGUCCACGUUAAACAUCAAAAAUCAACUGAUCAUGUUUAUGUAAAUUGAAAUUCUCAAUUUGGGAUGGAGGGGCUAUCAAUUGAGAUCUCUCCUAACAAAGCACCCCAAACUUUGAAUAAUUAACACAUAACAUUAAAAGGAAAUCAAAAUAAAGGCUGAAUGACAAUACUUUCGAGUAACUUAAACAAUAAACCAUAUCCUGAUCAUUUCUGACUGUGAAGAUAAUCAUAUAAACUAAUGUAAGUGAUAUGUUUUUUGCAUGACAUAUCACUUACAUUUGUAAACAUGUUGAUUUUGUUAUAAUAUUAUUUCCACCUUUAAUGCGAUAUACAUUGUAUUUUUAUUAGAAUAUUAACUGGGGUUUAAAGAUUUAAUAUUAGGCUUUCAAAAAAACAGUAAAACCCUACCUAAAGAAAAUCAAGAUAUCAGUUUAUUCAGCAUUUUUUGAAGGACAAAAGUACCGAAAGGUCCAAACAGAGUACUACUCUCAAAUGCCAGAGCUAUGCAGUAUCACAUUAUGGAGAAAAGCUUGAUCAACCACAGUUACUGCCAUGGAUGGAUAGAUUAAGUUGACUCCUAAAACAAAUGACUCACACAAAUAAUUAUACUAAUUUUUUUUUUUAUAAAAAAUACUGUAUUCCAAAGUAUAUGAUUACUUUUGACUUUUUAGAGUCGAUUAAAAAGUUUUUUAAAUUUAGAACGGAGGGAGUGGCUUACACUGGAAAUUUCAAUCUUUUGGAUAUGGACUUCAAAAUUAUCAGGAAGCAAGAAGACUUAAGUUAAUAGUAGAUACCAGUCAAACUUGCAAAUAUUUUUCGCAAUCUGAAUAUUGAGUAAUGUUCUAGUCUUCAAGGUCGAUCCACACAAACUUCAACAUUGUCUAUCUAAAUUCCUUCCAUGUCCACUCAACAUUGGGUUCCUGAGAAAGGAGAGCAAACAUAACCUAGAUGAAGUUCUUGUAUUAAAAAACAUGAGAUUAUUACUUCAAACUAAAAUUUGUUAAACAUAC
rnacentral:lncRNA from 1 species